GGAUGUGAGGGCGAUCUGGCUGCCACAUCUGUUACCCUAUUGAUGGGCAGGGUUGAUUGGGCUGAUCUGGCUGGCUAGGCAGGUGUCACCUUCCUCCCUUACCACUCCAUGUGUGUCUCUCCUGAAGCUGCACACUCGCUCAAAGAGGAUGACCUUCCCCGAAUAGAGGAGGACUGGUCUUUGGUCAAGGGUAUACGAGUAGCUGUGCUCCCCUGCUAGAACCUCCAAACAAACUCUCAAGAAUUAUCCAAGAGCUCCCACUUUGUUGGUGUCAAGAGCUACAACAUGUAAAUGACAUAUUUACAUAUCACACAUUCUUA
ensembl:misc_RNA 7SK 7SK RNA